rnacentral:rRNA from 1 species
AGAGUUUGAUCCUGGCUCAGGACGAACGCUGGCGGCGUGCCUAACACAUGCAAGUCCAUGCGAAGCUGCUUACAACGGAAUCCUUCGGGAAGAAGAUGUAAGUAUCUUAGCGGCGGACGGGUGAGUAACGCGUGAGGAACCUACCUUCCACAAGGGGAUAGCCUUGGGAAACUGGGAUUAAUACCCUAUGAGACUUAGGUAUCGUAUGAUACUUAGGUUAAAGCGUAAAGCGGUGGAAGAUGGCCUCGCGUCCCAUUAGCUAGUUGGUGAGGUAACGGCUCACCAAGGCGACGAUGGGUAGCCGGCCUGAGAGGGUGGACGGCCACACUGGAACUGAGACACGGUCCAGACUCCUACGGGAGGCAGCAGUGGGGAAUAUUGCACAAUGGGCGAAAGCCUGAUGCAGCGACGCCGCGUGAGCGAAGAAGGCCUUCGGGUCGUAAAGCUCUGUCCUAUGGGACGAUAAUGACGGUACCAUAGGAGGAAGCCCCGGCUAACUACGUGCCAGCAGCCGCGGUAAUACGUAGGGGGCGAGCGUUGUCCGGAAUGACUGGGCGUAAAGGGUACGUAGGCGGCCGUGUAAGUCAGGUGUGAAAGGCUAGGGCUCAACCCUAGUGAGCACUUGAAACUGCAUGGCUUGAGUCGAGGAGAGGAAAGUGGAAUUCCUGGUGUAGCGGUGAAAUGCGUAGAUAUCAGGAGGAAUACCAGUGGCGAAGGCGACUUUCUGGCCUUAGACUGACGCUGAGGUACGAAAGCGUGGGGAGCAAACUGGAUUAGAUACCCUGGUAGUCCACGCCGUAAACGAUGAGUGCUAGGUGUCGGGACAUAAGUUUCGGUGCCGAAGUUACACAUUAAGCACUCCGCCUGGGAGUACGGUCGCAGACUGAACUCAAAGGAAUGACGGGACCCGCCAGCAGCGGAGCAUGUGGUUAAUUCGAUGCACGCGAAGACCUUACCAGGGCUUGACAUCCCUCUGACAGUCCUAGAGAUAGGGCCUUCCUUCGGGGACAGAGGUGACAGGUGGUGCAUGGUUGUCGUCAGCUCGUGUCGUGAGAUGUUGGGUUAAGUCCCGCAACGAGCGCAACCCUUGCCUUUAGUUGCUAACAGUUAGGCUGAGCACUCUAGAGGGACUGCCGGCAAUAAGUCGGAGGAAGGUGGGGAUGACGUCAAAUCAUCAUGCCCUUUAUGUCCUGGGCUACACACGUGCUACAAUGGUCGGUACAAAGGGCAGCGACCUAGCGAUAGGAAGCGAAUCCCAUAAAGCCGAUCCCAGUUCGGAUUGCAGGCUGCAACUCGCCUGCAUGAAGUCGGAGUUGCUAGUAAUCGCGGAUCAGAAUGCCGCGGUGAAUGCGUUCCCGGGUCUUGUACACACCGCCCGUCACACCAUGGGAGUCAACAAUGCCCGAAGCCAGUGAGCUAACCGUAAGGGGGCAGCUGUCGAAGGCAGGGUUGAUGACUGGGGUGAAGUCGUAACAAGGUAGCCGUAUCGGAAGGUGCGGCUGGAUCACCUCCUUUCU